rnacentral:piRNA from 1 species
UGUUCAGGAAGCCCUUUUUUGGCCUC